rnacentral:rRNA from 1 species
GGCUGUCGUCAGCUCGUGUCGUGAGAUGUUGGGUUAAGUCCCGCAACGAGCGCAACCCACGUCUUUAGUUGCCAGCAUUUAGUUGGGCGCUCUAGAGAGACCGCCGGUGAUAAACCGGAGGAAGGUGUGGAUGACGUCAAGUCAUCAUGCCCCUUACAUCCUGGGCUACACACGUACUACAAUGCUACGGACAAAGGGCAGCAAACUCGCGAGAGCUAGCAAAUCCCAUAAACCGUGGCUCAGUUCAGAUCGUAGGCUGCAACUCGCCUACGUGAAGGAGGAAUCGCUAGUAAUCGCAGGUCAGCAUACUGCGGUGAAUACGUUCCCGGGCCUUGUACACACCGCCCGUCACACCAUGGAAGUUGGCCACGCCCGAAGUCGUUACUCCAACCCUUGUGGAGGAGGAUGCCGAAGGUGGGGCUGAUGACUGGGGUGAAGUCGUAACAAGGUAGCCGUACCGGAAGGUGCGGCUGGAUCACCUCCUAA